rnacentral:rRNA from 1 species
ACUCCUACGGGAGGCAGCAGUGGGGAAUAUUGCACAAUGGGCGAAAGCCUGAUGCAGCGACGCCGCGUGAGGGAUGACGGCCUUCGGGUUGUAAACCUCUUUCAGCAGGGACGAAGCGCAAGUGACGGUACCUGCAGAAGAAGCACCGGCUAACUACGUGCCAGCAGCCGCGGUAAUACGUAGGGCGCAAGCGUUAUCCGGAA